GAUGAACGCUAGCGACAGGCCUAACACAUGCAAGUCGAGGGGCAGCACAUGAGUAGCAAUACGAUGGUGGCGACCGGCGCACGGGUGAGUAACACGUAUGCAACCUGCCUGUAAGAGGGGAAUAACCCGGAGAAAUUCGGACUAAUACCGCAUAAUACCACGAGACUGCAUGGUUUUGUGGUUAAACAUUUAUGGCUUACAGAUGGGCAUGCGUAUGAUUAGAUAGUUGGUAGGGUAACGGCCUACCAAGUCUACGAUCAUUAGGGGUUCUGAGAGGAAGGUCCCCCACACUGGUACUGAGACACGGACCAGACUCCUACGGGAGGCAGCAGUGAGGAAUAUUGGUCAAUGGGCGAGAGCCUGAACCAGCCAAGUCGCGUGAAUGAAGAAGGCCUCGGUUGUAAAUUACUGUUAUAAGGAAGAAAGGUAGAUAGGAGGAAAGUAGACGUAUACAAUUAGUACGGUACCGUUACUGUAGAAAGACCACGGACUAACUACGUAGCCACGC
rnacentral:rRNA from 1 species